rnacentral:rRNA from 1 species
UUUACAGAGGGUUGAUGCUGGCUACAUGUGCUCACUCUUCUGAUUGUUUUUACACCUGUGCACACUCGCCAACGGUCGGGGUAGAAACCUGCCUUUGGAACUUGAUAGCCCCUAACCCCUAUAUUGAAGUAAUGGAUGUUUUUAUGGCAAAUACAACUUUUAACAACGGAUCUCUUGGCUCUCGCAUCGAUGAAGAACGCAGCGAAAUGCGAUAAGUAAUGUGAAUUGCAGAAUUCAGUGAAUCAUCGAAUCUUUGAACGCACCUUGCGCUCUCUGGUAUUCCGGGGAGCACACCUGUUCGAGUGUCAUUAAGACUUAUCAAGUGAGGUCUAUCUCUCUUUGGAUUUGGGCUUUGCUGCAUUAAUGUGGCUAGUCUUAAAUAUAUUAGCUGGUCCUUGUUGAGGUUUUGGUUCUACUCGGCGUGAUAAUUUAUCUAACGUUGAGGACAGUUUUCAGAACUGGCUUGUAGCUGGCUGUAGCUGGCCAUAGCUCUCUCUCUGGAUUGCUUCUAACUGAACACAAUUGCUGGCCUCGAAUCAGGUGGGACUACCCGCUGAACUUAAGCAUAU